rnacentral:rRNA from 1 species
GACCAUCUCCUAAGGCUAAAUACUCUCUAGUGACCGAUAGUGAACCAGUACCGUGAGGGAAAGGUGAAAAGCACCCCGGAAGGGGAGUGAAAUAGAACCUGAAACCGUGUGCUUACAAGUAGUCAGAGCCCGUUAAUGGGUGAUGGCGUGCCUUUUGUAGAAUGAACCGGCGAGUUACGAUUUGAUGCAAGGUUAAGCAGUAAAUGUGGAGCCGUAGCGAAAGCGAGUCUGAAUAGGGCGUUUAGUAUUUGGUCGUAGACCCGAAACCAGGUGAUCUACCCUUGGUCAGGUUGAAGUUCAGGUAACACUGAAUGGAGGACCGAACCGACUUACGUUGAAAAGUGAGCGGAUGAACUGAGGGUAGCGGAGAAAUUCCAAUCGAACCUGGAGAUAGCUGGUUCUCUCCGAAAUAGCUUUAGGGCUAGCCUCAAGUGAUGAUUAUUGGAGGUAGAG